rnacentral:misc_RNA from 1 species
AAAGUCGUAACAAGGUUUCCGUAGGUGAACCUGCGGAAGGAUCAUUCACAAACAAGUGUUUAUGGCACUUUUAAACAAUCCAUAUCCACCUUGUGUGCAACGUUUGAAUUCGAUCCGCACGCUCGCUCUCCUUUAGUGCGAAAGCGUGUGUGGGGAAGGAUUCUCAACACUAUUAACUUAUCUUGAACUAUAGUUUGUCUUAAUUAACGUAUCAUGAAUUAACUUAAUUCGAAAUACAACUUUCAACAACGGAUCUCUUGGCUCUC